UUACGGGAGGCAGCAGCUAAGAAUAUUCCGCAAUGGACGAAAGUCUGACGGAGCGACGCCGCGUGGAUGAUGAAGGCCGAAAGGUUGUAAAGUCCUUUUGUCGACGAAGAAUAAGUGGGGGAGGGAAUGCCCUCAUGAUGACGUUAGUCGGCGAAUAAGCCCCGGCUAAUUACGUGCCAGCAGCCGCGGUAACACGUAAGGGGCAAGCGUUGUUCGGAAUUAUUGGGCGUAAAGGGUACGUAGGCGGUCCUGUAAGCCCGGCGUGAAAUACUGGAGCUUAACUCCAGAACUGCGCUGGGAACUGUAGGACUUGAGUCAUGGAAGGGGAGUUGGAAUUCCAGGUGUAGGGGUGAAAUCUGUAGAUAUCUGGAAGAACACCGGUGGCGAAGGCGAACUCCUGGCCAAUGACUGACGCUGAGGUACGAAAGUGCGGGGAGCAAACAGGCUUAGAUACCCUGGUAGA
rnacentral:rRNA from 1 species